ACCAGACUCCUACGGGAGGCAGCAGUGGGGAAUAUUGCACAAUGGGGGAAACCCUGAUGCAGCGACGCCGCGUGAGUGAAGAAGUAUUUCGGUAUGUAAAGCUCUAUCAGCAGGGAAGAAAAUGACGGUACCUGACUAAGAAGCCCCGGCUAACUACGUGCCAGCAGCCGCGGUAAUACGUAGGGGGCAAGCGUUAUCCGGAUUUACUGGGUGUAAAGGGAGCGUAGACGGCAGUGCAAGUCCGGAGUGAAAGCCCGGGGCUCAACCCUGGGACUGCUCUGGAAACUGUAAAGCUGGAGUGCGGGAGGGGCAGGCGGAAUUCCUGGUGUAGCGGUGAAAUGCGUAGAUAUCAGGAGGAACACCGGCGGCGAAGGCGGCCUGCUGGACCGUAACUGACGUUGAGGCUCGAAAGCGUGGGGAGCAAACAGGAUUAGAUACCCUAGUA
rnacentral:rRNA from 1 species